GACGAACGCUGGCGGCGUGCCUAAUACAUGCAAGUCGAACGCAGUGGGGACGGGUGAGUAACACGUGGGUAACCUCCCAUCAGAGGGGAUAACACUUGGAAACAGGUGCUAAACCGAUACUGAUGGAUGGACCCGCGGUGCAUUAGUUAGUUGGUGAGGUAACGGCUCACCAAGGCCACGAUCGAUAGCGGGGCUGGGAGGGUUACCGGCCACACUGGGACUGAGACACGGCCCAGACUCCGACGGGAGGCAGUAGUGGGGAAGAGUCGGCAAUGGACGAAAGUCUGACCGAGCAACGCCGCGUGAGUGAAGAAGGUUUUCGGAUCGUAAAGCUCUUUUGUUAGGGAGGCGGUAUCUAACCAAAAAGCAACGGCUAACUACGUGCCAGCAGCCGCGGUAAUUC
rnacentral:rRNA from 1 species